rnacentral:rRNA from 1 species
CCUACGGGAGGCAGCAGUGGGGGAUAUUGCACAAUGGGGGAAACCCUGAUGCAGCAACGCCGCGUGUGGGAAGAAGGUUUUCGGAGUGUAAACCACUGUUCGUGGGGAAGAGAAGGACGGUAAGCAAGGAGAAAGCUCCGGCUAACGAUGUGCCAGCAGCCGCGGUAAUACGUAGGGAGCAAGCGUUGUCCGGAUUUACUGGGUGUAAAGGGGGCGUAGGCGGUCUUGCACGUCAGACGUGCCAACCACAGGCUCAACCUGUGGACUGCGUUUGAAACUGUGGGGCUUGAGUGAAGUCGAGGUAGGCGGAAUUCCCGGUGUAGCGGUGAAAUGCGUA